rnacentral:lncRNA from 1 species
AGCCAUGACAAAGGAAGUUUUAGCAAGGGAAGAAAUUGAUACUGUUAGCAGAUACCUUGGCCAGGUUAAUGCUGUGCUUACAUAGAUUUACACUGGUUAUUUGAUAUUAGAUUAACUUCAAAUCCUCAAUGUUGUGGAUGACAUUUAUUAUUCUUCAUCUGUGUGUGUGUGUAUUUGUGUGUUAGAUGAAAACUUUAUGAAAAUUGAUGGUGAUUUCUGAGCAUGAACCAUGGGUGAUUCAUGUAA